UACGAAGGGGGCUAGCGUUGUUCGGAAUCACUGGGCGUAAAGCGCACGUAGGCGGACCACUCAGUCUGGUUUUAAAGACCGCCGCUCAACGGCGGGGCUGGACUGGAUACUGGUGGUCUGGACCUCUGGAGAGGGAACCGGAAUUCCUGGUGUAGCGGUGGAAUGCGUAGAUACCAGGAGGAACACCGAUGGCGAAGGCAGGUUCCUGGACAGAAGGUGACGCUGAGGCGCGAAAGUGUGGGGAGCGAACCGG
rnacentral:rRNA from 1 species